rnacentral:rRNA from 1 species
UGAUGAUGAGUACAUGCUGCUGUUUGACUAGUUCACUGCCUGCUGGUCCAGAUUAUAUGGUCGUGAAGCUCGGCGUUGACAAGAGCAUCACUCUGUAGCUGUGCAUCCUUCUCUAACAAGCAUUCAAAGCACUACCAUGCCGGGCUGUGGGUACUGCCUCAUCGACCAAGGAUCUACGGCGACAGCGGCACCAGCGACCCCAUGGAGGCGGCACCGAAACCCUGAUGUUCAAGCUGGAGGAUGUGGCGAUGGAAUAUGGAUCAAUGAGAUGAAGAAAGGUGUUGAUGUCAAGUACGAGAAUGAUGGAAGGAUCUUGUGGUUAUCUAGUUGCCCACCAGGAGUCAAUGUAGAUGAUGUGCCUCUAGGGCAAAUUCUAGAAAACAAAGCGACUCAUUUUUGCUCUCAAACAAUGAACAUAUUUUUCCCUAUUUAAUAAGUUAAAUUAGUUUAUGGGAAAUUUAGAUGUGAAAAUUAAUGAAUGUGUGUUAUUAUUGUUUGGUUUUGGUUUAGUAUUGUUGGACGACAUGCACGUUAUUGUAAUGAUUUGGGUUAACUUGAUUGAUAUUCU